UUCCCAUACGAUCAAUGAAGUUAAGCAAUGUUGAACCUGUUCAGUACCAAGAUGGGUGACCACUCUGGAAUAGCAGCUGCUGUAAG